GGUGCUGUAGCGAAGUGGUCAAACGCGUUAGACUCAAGUUAAACACUUGCCCUUAUCAAUGUGGCUUCUAAUCCUUAGGGUUCGGGGGUUCGAGUCCCCCCGGCAUCA
rnacentral:tRNA from 1 species